UAUCCGCACGAGCGCACCCCUGUCCUUAGUUGCCAUCAGAUAAUGCUGGGAACUCUAAGGAGACAGCCUGUGACAAGCAGGAGGAAGGUGGGGAUGACGUCAAGUCAUCAUGGCUCUCACGUCCUGGGCUGCAAACGUGCUACAAUGGCUGGUACAAAGGGUUGCGAUACCGCGAGGUGGAGCCAAUCCCAAAAAACCAGUCUCAGUUCGGAUUGGAGUCUGCAACUCGACUCCAUGAAGGUGGAAUUGCUAGUAAUCGCGGAUCAGCAUGCCGCGGUGAAUACGUUCCCGGGCCUUGUACACACCGCCCGUCACACCACGAAAGUCAGCUGUACCUGACGUCGCUGGAGCUAACCCGCAAGGGAGGCAGGUGCCCACGGUAUGGUUGGUGAUUGGGGUGAAGUCGUAACAAGGUAGCCGUAGGGGAACCUGCGGCUGGAUCACCUCCUUU
rnacentral:rRNA from 1 species